rnacentral:rRNA from 1 species
AUGCACGCUGGCGGCGUGCCUCAUACCUGCCAGUCGAGCGAACAGAUGAGGAGCUUGCUCCUCUGACGUUAGCGGCGGACGGGUGAGUAACACGUGGAUAACCUACCUAUAAGACUGGGAUAACUUCGGGAAACCGGAGCUAAUACCGGAUAAUAUAUUGAACCGCAUGGUUCAAUAGUGAAAGACGGUUUUGCUGUCACUUAUAGAUGGAUCCGCGCCGCAUUAGCUAGUUGGUAAGGUAACGGCUUACCAAGGCGACGAUGCGUAGCCGACCUGAGAGGGUGAUCGGCCACACUGGAACUGAGACACGGUCCAGACUCCUACGGGAGGCAGCAGUAGGGAAUCUUCCGCAAUGGGCGAAAGCCUGACGGAGCAACGCCGCGUGAGUGAUGAAGGUCUUCGGAUCGUAAAACUCUGUUAUUAGGGAAGAACAAAUGUGUAAGUAACUAUGCACGUCUUGACGGUACCUAAUCAGAAAGCCACGGCUAACUACGUG